rnacentral:rRNA from 1 species
AUUGAACGCUGGCGGCAGGCCUAACACAUGCAAGUCGAACGAGUGGCGGACGGGUGAGUAAUGUCUGGGAAACUGCCUGAUGGAGGGGGAUAACUACUGGAAACGGUAGCUAAUACCGCAUACCAUAAGAUGUGCCCAGGUGGGAUUAGGUAGUGGGUGGGGUAACGGCUCACCUAGGCGACGAUCCCUAGCUGGUCUGAGAGGAUGACCAGCCACACUGGGACGGAGACACGGUCCAGCCGCCUACGGGAGGCAGCAGUGGGGAAUAUUGCACAAUGGGCGCAAUCCUGAGGCAGCCAUGCCGCGUGUGUGAAGAAGGCCUUCGGGUUGUAAAGCACUUUCAGCGAGGAGGCGUUACUCGCAGAAGAAGCACCGGCUAACUCCGUGCCAGCAGCCGCGGUAAUUC